rnacentral:rRNA from 1 species
CCUACGGGAGGCAGCAGUGAGGGAUAUUGGUCAAUGGGGGAAACCCUGAACCAGCAACGCCGCGUGAGGGAAGACGGUUUUCGGAUCGUAAACCUCUGUCCUCUGUGAAGAUGAUGACGGUAGCAGAGGAGGAAGCUCUGGCUAACUACGUGCCAGCAGCCGCGGUAAUACGUAGGCAGCAAGCGUUGUCCGGAUUUACUGGGUGUAAAGGGUGCGUAGGCGGCUUUGCAAGACAGAAGUGAAAUCCACGGGCUUAACCCAUGAACUGCUUUUGAAACUGGAGAGCUGGAGUGGGGUAGAGGUAGGCGGAAUUCCCGGUGGAGGAGUGAAAUGCGUAGAGAUCGGGAGGAACACCAGUGGCGAAGGCGACCAGCUGGGCUAUAACUGACGCUGAGGCGCGAAAGCGUGGGUAGCAAACAGGAUUAGAUACCCGAGUAGUC